GAUGAACGCUGGCGGCGUGCCUAAUACAUGCAAGUCGAGCGAACGGACGAGAAGCUUGCUUCUCUGAUGUUAGCGGCGGACGGGUGAGUAACACGUGGAUAACCUACCUAUAAGACUGGGAUAACUUCGGGAAACCGGAGCUAAUACCGGAUGAUAUCUUGAACCGCAUGGUUCAAAAGUGAAAGACGGUCUUGCUGUCACUUAUGGAUGGAUCCGCGCUGCAUUAGCUAGUUGGUAAGGUAACGGCUUACCAAGGCAACGAUGCAUAGCCGACCUGAGAGGGUGAUCGGCCACACUGGAACUGAGACACGGUCCAGACUCCUACGGGAGGCAGCAGUAGGGAAUCUUCCGCAAUGGGCGAAAGCCUGACGGAGCAACGCCGCGUGAGUGAUGAAGGUCUUCGGAUCGUAAAACUCUGUUAUUAGGGAAGAACAUAUGUGUAAGUAACUGUGCACAUCUUGACGGUACCUAAUCAGAAAGCCACGGCUAACUACGUG
rnacentral:rRNA from 1 species